UACAGAGGGUGCAAGCGUUAAUCGGAAUUACUGGGCGUAAAGCGUGCGCAGACGGUUACAUAAGUCGGGUGUGAAAGCCCCGGGCUCAACCUGGGAAUUGCAUUCGAGACUGUGUAGCUAGGGUACGGAAGAGGGAAGCGGAAUUUCAGGUGUAGCGGUGAAAUGCGUAGAUAUCUGAAGGAACACCAGUGGCGAAAGCGGCUUCCUGGUCCAGUACCGACGUUCAGGCACGAAAGCGUGGGGAGCAAACAGG
rnacentral:rRNA from 1 species